AUGUUAUAGCAUGAGUUACACACCGGAUCCCAUUAGAACUCUUAAGUGAAGGAUACUCGGCAAAGUAGUACUAGGAUGAGAGAACUCCAAAGUUAACCGUUCUUUAGCAAAAGUAAGAGACUUCUCGAGAAAUCCAUGUGCUGCACGUC
rnacentral:rRNA from 1 species